rnacentral:rRNA from 1 species
GAUCAUGGCUCAGGAUGAACGCUAGCUACAGGCUUAACACAUGCAAGUCGAGGGGCAGCAUGGUCUUAGCUUGCUAAGGCCGAUGGCGACCGGCGCACGGGUGAGUAACACGUAUCCAACCUGUCGUCUACUCUUGGACAGCCUUCUGAAAAGGAAGAUUAAUACAAGAUGGCAUCAUGGGUCCGCAUGUUCACAUGAUUAAAGGUAUUCCGGUAGACGAUGGGG